GGGGAUAUGGCGAAAUUGGUAGACGCUACGGACUUAAAAAAUCGUGAGGGUUCAAGUCCCUCUAUCCCCA
rnacentral:tRNA from 4 species